UUAAUUUUUUGGUGGUUAGUGUUGAUAUUUUAUUAAAGUAUUUUGGUGUUAUUGUAUAUUUUAUUGAUUUAAUUUUUUAGUUUAUAGUUUACUUUGUACUGUAGGGGGUUAUUUUUUGUUCUUGUAAAAGCUGAUUUUUUUUGUUGUACCUUGUGUAUCAGGGUUUAUUAAAUUUUAUUAUAGAUUUAUUUAUUUCCCGAUUUUGGAUGAUUUAAUAAUUUAUUUUAGUUACUGUUUCAUAAGUAUUAAUAAUAUUUUGUUGGUAGUGAGAUGUUUUUCGUUUUCAGUGAUAUCUGGUUUUCUAGGAAAUGAAUUUAAUUCAUGCAUUUUGUUUAAUAUUCCUUUUUGUUUAGGGGUGUUUUAUUUGGUGUAAAUGCUUUGGGGGAUUAGCUCUGGGGUUGAAUUCUUAAAAUUGGCUUGUUUUGUUUAUCUUUGUGGGUUUUAUGUUAACUAUCAGUUUAAUUAUGUUGAAAUUUUAUUUUUGUUUUGUUUUAUUUUGGUUUGGUUUAAGUUUUAUAUUAGAAUAUUGUUAUUAAUUUUUAAUUAUUUAUGAUUAUGGUGGAAUUAGUAUAUGUUGUUUUGUGAUUGUUAGUGAUUUGUAGUUGGUAAUUUUUCUUUAGGAAUUAGGCAAAGUUUAAAUGCUCGCCUGUUUAUCAAAAACAACUCCUCUUGUUUUGUUUUUUGGAGGUAGGACCUGCCCACUGAAGUUUUGAAGGGCCGCGGUAUUUUGACCGUGCAAAGGUAGCAUAAUCAUUAGUCUUUUAAUUGUGGGCUGGUAUGAAUGGUUUGACGAGGCACAAUCUGUCUUGGGUUAAUAUUUUAUUGAAUUUGGGUUUUAGAUAAAAAUAUCUAAAUUUUUUUGUGGGACGAGAAGACCCUAUAGAGUUUUAUAUUAGUCCUUUUUUAUUUGUUUGUUUUUGUUAUUUUUAGUUGGGGUUUUAUUUUGUUGGGGUGACAUGAAGAUUUAUUUAACUCUUCUUUUGGUUUGUUUAUAUACAUUAAUAGUUUGUUGAUCCUUUAUUAUUGAUUUUAAGAUUAAAUUACCUUAGGGAUAACAGCGUAAUCUUUCUUGAAAGUUCUUAUUGACAGGGGGGUUUGCGACCUCGAUGUUGGAUUAGGGUGAAUUUUUGGUGUAGAGGCUUAAGAAAUUAGGUCUGUUCGACCUUUAAAACCUUACAUGAUCUGAGUUCAAACCGGCGUGAGCCAGGUUGGUUUCUAUCUAUAAGAUUUUGCGGCACCUUAGUACGAAAGGACCAGUUGUUGGGAAUAAUUUU
rnacentral:rRNA from 1 species